rnacentral:rRNA from 1 species
UGGGGAAUAUUGCACAAUGGGCGCAAGCCUGAUGCAGCCAUGCCGCGUGUAUGAAGAAGGCCUUCGGGUUGUAAAGUACUUUCAGCGGGGAGGAAGGCGAUAAGGUUAAUAACCUUGUCGAUUGACGUUACCCGCAGAAGAAGCACCGGCUAACUCCGUGCCAGCAGCCGCGGUAAUACGGAGGGUGCAAGCGUUAAUCGGAAUUACUGGGCGUAAAGCGCACGCAGGCGGUCUGUCAAGUCGGAUGUGAAAUCCCCGGGCUCAACCUGGGAACUGCAUUCGAAACUGGCAGGCUAGAGUCUUGUAGAGGGGGGUAGAAUUCCAGGUGUAGCGGUGAAAUGCGUAGAGAUCUGGAGGAAUACCUGUGGCGAAGGCGGCCCCCUGGACAAAGACUGACGCUCAGGUGCGAAAGCGUGGGGAGCAAACA